GGCGGAAACAAAAUUAAGUUGUUUCAUACAAACUAUGAUCGGCGACGGAUGAAAAACGAACCCAUCGCCGGCCAGACAAAAACAAGAUUAUCUGAUGCAGUAGAAUUGCGGGAUUUGUCAUAGAAUCGUCGGUGUGCCGUUGAUGUAAAAGAGUUGGAGUUGUCUUAUAAUUGACGAAGAUGAUGAUGAAUAAAGAUUUGAGUUUUUCGUAGGGGUGAGUGGUUUAAAAUCCAAGAAAAAGUUAUAGGAGUUUCGGGAUUUUUUGACCGUAGGGGUAUUUGGAGUAUUUUUGUAUAUUUUUAUUUUCUUGAUUUCUA
rnacentral:lncRNA from 1 species